AACGCACGAGACCUGCGGACCUGCGGAAGGAUCAUUAUUGAAUAAACUUGGUGGGUUGUCGCUGGCUUCUCGGAGCAUGUGCACGCCUGCCAUCUUUAUCCCAUCCACCUGUGCACCUUCUGUAGUCUUGAACUGUGAAUGCGGCCUCUUCUCGAAUAGGCCAUUGGUCUCUCGGAUAAUAAGGAUUGCUUUGCGAAAGGCAUAGCUCUCCUCGAAAGCUUGUGAUCACUUGUUCAGACU
rnacentral:misc_RNA from 1 species